rnacentral:pre_miRNA from 12 species
CUUUGACUUUAACAUGGAGGUACUCUCUGUGCCUUUUUAGAAAGAGUAAGUGCUUCCAUGUUUUAGUGGAAG